rnacentral:rRNA from 1 species
UAGGGAAUAUUGGACAAUGGGGGCAACCCUGAUCCAGCCAUGCCGCGUGAGUGAAGAAGGCCCUCGGGUUGUAAAGCUCUUUUGUCCGGAAAGAAAAGCUUCGGGUUAAUACCCCGGGGUUCUGACGGUACCGGAAGAAUAAGCACCGGCUAACUUCGUGCCAGCAGCCGCGGUAAUACGAAGGGUGCAAGCGUUACUCGGAAUUACUGGGCGUAAAGCGUGCGUAGGUGGUUGUUUAAGUCUGAUGUGAAAGCCCUGGGCUCAACCUGGGAAUGGCAUUGGAAACUGGGCAGCUAGAGUGCGGUAGAGGGUAGUGGAAUUCCCGGUGUAGCAGUGAAAUGCGUAGAGAUCGGGAGGAACAUCUGUGGCGAAGGCGACUGCCUGGACCAGCACUGACACUGAGGCACGAAAGCGUGGGGAGCAAACA